GGAUUGUGGCUCAGUGGUAGAGCACUUGCCUAGCACAUGUGAGGCCCUGGGUUCAAUUCUCAGCACCA
rnacentral:tRNA from 1 species